GUUUGGAGGAUUCUUUGGAAACUUCGAGUGCCGACCAAAGUUAAGAUUCACCUAUGGAGGGCGUUGUAUGGUGCGAUUCCUUGUCGUGGCAUCCUUGUGAACAGGCAUAUGCUUACCAGUUCGCAAUGUCCAAUUUGCUCUACAGAUUGUGAAAGUAUACAUCACGCCUUUUUUAAAUGCCCACGUGUCCAACUCAUUUGGGAAAAACUGGGUAUGGCUGAGACAAUUUUUGAGUUGUGCAGUACAGAGAGGGAAGGUGCUUCGGUCCUUGGUGACCUGCUGCUAAUGCCGUGCACUAAUAUUCCCUCGCUAUCUGAUGUUAACAGGAAGGAUUUGAUAGCAGUGGCUGUGUGGUACAAAAAGAUGGGUACACGCCGGAUCAGAAGACAUGGAUGGAGGAGACCGCUGAGCAGUUUUGUCAAACUCAACGUUGAUGCAUCCUUUGAUGUAGACAGCGGUACGGGGGGUUCGGGUGCUAUUAUCCGAGAUGAAUAUGGUGCUUUCAUUGCGGCUUCAUGCAGCAAUAUCCCCUUCGUAGAGGAUGCAGCGACAGCUGAAGCCCGUGGUUUGAAGGAUGGACUCAUACUAGCAAGUAAUGUUGGUUGCAACAAGCUGGAGAUCGAAGCUGACUGUAUGGAGGUGAUUGAAAUCAUGAACAGCGGCGGAAACUCUCUCGGCCCAGCAGCAACAAUUUAUGAGGAAUGUUACUUUCUUUGUCGUAAUUUUAUUUCUAUUAGUUUUCAUUAUUGUCUUAGGGAGGCCAAUAUGGCGGCAGAUUUGUUGGCUACAAAGUUAGAGCCCUCACGAACAAUUGUUUGGGAUGAGGCUCCUGAUUUUUUGCUACAUGUACUUUCAAAUGAUGUAGCCCUUUUUUCACAUGAAAUAUAA
rnacentral:rRNA from 1 species